rnacentral:piRNA from 1 species
UUUUAGUGAUGUGAUGAGCAU